rnacentral:lncRNA from 1 species
UUCUUCUUCCAUUUCCUCCCUUUCUCGAUUCUUAUCUGAGACACGAAGUAUCAUCGACAAAUGCUUUCGCAAACGCUUCCGAUUUAUCCCCUGAAUCUGGUUCCCGAGUUGAAAUCGAGCAUUAACUCUGAAAUCCACAGGAAAAGACUCUCAUCACCUAACAAUCCAGAUUUUUUCUUCGCUCUAUUUUCACUUGUUCCCAAUUCCUUUUCCUUGGCUUCAGACAAAAUCCUUGAGUUCACAUUGUUUUUUUUUCUUUUGUCUUUAUUUUUUCU